GGUAGUGGAAAUAGAAGGAGUCGCUGCUGCUGCUGCUACUGCUUCGAUUCCAAGAGGCGGAGGACUCUGUUGGUUGACUUGGUUGCUUUUGAAGGCGCUUCACCAACUCUCUAAUGUUGAAGAUGUGAUCUUUCAGCUUGCAAUUUGAAUGAUAUUUUUUUGAAGCUCUCUCUUUCUGCUUUCAUUUUCUAGCUCUAGUGGAUAUAUUUUUGUAGUGCCUGAGUUCUCCUUUUUCUUUAGUGUUCCAAUGCAUUUAUACUCUUUGGGGAAAGUGGGAACACUUAUAGCUGUUAAACAAUUAAUAGAGCCGUUCUGAGAUGAAAACAGUCAUUCCAAUUCACAGAAAAACUAGUUGUUACUGUUAUUAGGCGCAGAGUGGCCAAGUCGUAGUUUUUUGGGAUCGACUCAAGAUUUUGAAGAGUCGACUCAUAAUCUUCAAGAGUUGUCUCGAGCUUGCUUCUAUUUUUGCUGCAUUCUGUCUUUCUUCUGUUGCACUUAUGGAGUUAGCUCUCUUAGUUUAGGAGUCAACUUGUAGAUGACUAGGGUCGAUUUUUUUCUUUUAAGGAUUGACUCUUCAAUAGACUAAGUUUCACUGCUUUUUUUCUUUCUAUUGUUGCUAUUCAAGGAUUGACUCGACUAUUUUUGGGGUCAACUCUAGUUUGACUAGAUUCGGCUCAUGAAUUCCAUAGGUCGACCUGCCAAUACAAUAUUUUUUUCAACUCUCUAUCUUUUCUCUAUGGUCAUUCAUUCUAAGGUUGACUCACUUUUGUCUGGAGCUGACUCUUACUAAGCUGGAGUCAUCUCGAGUACUUCAUAGGUCGACUUGUCAUUGUGAUAAAUUUCUUGGCUUUCUGUAUGUCUUUUAAGAACAUUUUAGGGUCGACUCGCGAUCUGCUGGAGUCAGCUCAUGAAGGCGUAUUAGUCAACGAUAGUGUGCCAGAGUUGACUCGUUGCAAUCUUGGGUUCGACUCUUGAGGUAGCUCAGGAUGAAAUUUUUUGUGCUCGUAUGUGAGCUUUCAAAGAAUAUUUUCACGGCCAUUUGGAGUUCAACUUCUUGAUAUGGAGCUUUAGGUGGAUAAUCUUCACUUGAGAGUGCCUAAAGGCUUUCUUCUUGCUUUUUGAAAUUUAUCAAUUCAACCUAAAGCAAUAGAUUAGUCAACUUUUGACUCAACUAUUUUGCACCAUCAAAAUUAACUCUUUAGGGUCAACAAAAUUCUUACAAAACCAAUAAUAUUCCAAAAUCUUGUAUCAACUCUAAAAUAAAAUCUAGUCUAAAUAAAAAUAUCAAAAUCUUAUUUCUAGACACUCUCCCAUGAUAAAUUCUUGAGUCAAGCUAAUUCUUCGAAUCUAUAAUAAUAGUAAAAAAUCAUAUAAUGAGCUAGAUAAUCUAGUAAGUAAUGAAUACUCUAAUUAUAUAAUUCAUAUAAUAACAAAAGAUAUAAUAGUAAAACACAAAUUACCAUGAAUCAGGGUAAAAACUUAACUAAUUCUAUUUCAAAACACAAAUCCAUUAAAAUCCAUAUCUUUCAAAUAUUCAUAUAUGUAAUCAUAAAUUUAAUUUGAAACAAAUCACAUUCAACUCAACAACCUUUAACUAUGGCCACACUUACAUCCUGUGGCUAGGCCAGAAAUAGAACCAUACUUAUAUCCUGCAAAGUGGGUAAGAAUAGCGCACUUAUAUCCUAUGGAGUGGGCUAGAAUACCAUAUUUAUACUCUAUGGCAAGGCCAGAAAUAGAAUUAACAAGCUCAAUAAUAAUCAAAGUGCCAAUGUAUAACUCUGAAUUGGCAGGGCCCAAAACAUAGUCAGGAUGGCAGUUCAAAUCUGACACAUAUCAAAGUUUUCACAAAAUAACAGAUAUAACAUAAUUCAAUCAAAAUAUGCAUAUACUAUAUAAGAUCAGUAAACAAUUUAAUAAUAGUAUGAAAAAUAUUACUCCAAUUUACAUAUCUAUUUUUAUUCAAAAUACCAUCUCAUAAAAUUUAUAAAUCAUAUAUAAAUCUAUUAACAAUUUAUUAGAUGUAAAAAUAAUAUUAUAUAAAUUAAGAAUCUAGAAAAGGUAGAUCAUUACUUAUCUUGCGAGCGAAACUAAAUUAUUGGUCCAAAAAAUUUCGACAAUCUCUCUUAGAACCUAAAACUCUAGCGAGCACUUAACUAAAAUCUCCAGUGAGCAUCGUAAGCCAAGACCGUUGGAAGUCAAGAGGACAAGGAGAAGGAACCAAUGUUGGCCUAGCGGUGGUGAUCGGCAAAAUAUGUCGGUAGUGAGACAAAAGAGGGUAUGGGGGUGUUGCCCAGAUAUGCAGCCCAAGUGUUGACCCUUGUGUGAUUUUAAUGUUUACAAAACCAUUGAGUUGAUAAUUUGAUAUUGAUGCACUAAUACUUUUAAAUUAAGUAUUUCAAAAGAUCUAGUACAUAAGUGAGUAAGGAAGAAAGAUUUGAUACAUUCUUGAUACACUUUGCUUUAUACAUUUGAAACAACUCUCAAGAACUAAUCUAAAGACAAAUUCAUUGGAAGAACUUGAGAAAAAGUUAAAUUUUUAAUUUGACAAAGCUAAGAGUCAAGUUUCCUUAAAGGGCAAUUCUGUCUUUUGCAUAGUUAAAGAGAUAAAGCUUUUAUGUGCUAAGCAUCCUGAAUUACUUGCAAUAUCUUUUAUUGGUUUUAUGUGUAAGUCUAACCUUAAGAUACAGAAAAUUGUUGUCGGCGCCCGCGCCGGAACCCACUCACACCGGCACCACCACCAACGUCAGACAAGCAAAGAGAGAAUAAACAAAUAAGCACUCUCUCGCUCCCUCGACACUGAACUCAAGGAUCACCGCUUCGCUCCGCUACGAAGGGCAAAAGAUUACCCCUGGUAUCAGUAGGGUAAAACACUUGAGCACCGCAGCGAAUUAUCAAACCAAAAGAAGAAGUAGGAAGAAAGUAGCAAAGCAAACACAAAGAUGUAACGAGGUUCGGCUACAAGUAGCCUACGUCCUCCACCGCUUCAAAUCUCAAUUAGGAUGAACUGAUUACAGAGAUAGCACACACCUAAACGAUCACAAGCGAUCGCUCUACAAGAGAUUCACAUAGAAUUCCCUUUGCACAAGAAGUAGGAUCCCAAUCCUCUUCUUCUCUAGAACCUAGCCUCACAAACAAGAGUCUCUCUCAAAAUAUACUGGAAUAUAUUGCCCUAGGGCUCUCAUGAGUCCUAUAUAUAGUCUGAAGACCUUCAGAUGAUCAUAGCCGUCGAAAU
rnacentral:lncRNA from 1 species